GAGUUUGAUCAUGGCUCAGAACGAACGCUGGCGGCGUGGAUAAGACAUGCAAGUCGAACGGGAUUAUUUUUGUAGCAAUACAGAAAUAAUUCAGUGGCGAACGGGUGCGUAACACGUGGGCAAUCUGCCGAAAAGUGGGGGAUAGCUCGCCGAAAGGCGAAUUAAUACCGCAUGUGGUGAGGGACGACAUCUUCCUGAAUCCAAAGCCGGGGCAACCUGGCGCUUUUUGAGGAGCCCGCGGCCUAUCAGCUAGUUGGCGGGGUAACGGCCCACCAAGGCUAUGACGGGUAGCUGGUCUGAGAGGACGACCAGUCACACUGGAACUGAGACACGGUCCAGACACCUACGGGUGGCAGCAGUCGAGAAUUUUUCUCAAUGGGGGAAACCCUGAAGGAGCGACGCCGCGUGGAGGAUGAAGGCUUUCGGGUUGUAAACUCCUGUCAUUUGGGAACAAGUUGUACGUGUUUACUGCACGUGCAUUGAUAGUACCAGAAGAGGAAGGGACGGCUAACUCUGUGCCAGCAGCCGCGGUAAUACAGAGGUCCCAAGCGUUGUUCGGAUUCAUUGGGCGUAAAGGGUGCGUAGGUGGCGCCGUAAGUCGGGUGUGAAAUUUCGGAGCUUAACUCCGAAACUGCAUUCGAUACUGCGGUGCUUGAGGACUGGAGAGGAGACUGGAAUUCAUGGUGUAGCAGUGAAAUGCGUAGAGAUCAUGAG
rnacentral:rRNA from 1 species